rnacentral:rRNA from 1 species
AGAGUUUGAUCCUGGCUCAGGACGAACGCUGGCGGCGUGCCUAACACAUGCAAGUCGAACGAAGCUGCCUGGAAAGAGACUUCGGUCAAUGGAAGGGUAGACUUAGUGGCGGACGGGUGAGUAAUGCGUGAGCAACCUGCCCUUCAGAGGGGGACAACAGUUGGAAACGACUGCUAAUACCGCAUGACAUCAUUGGGAGGCAUCUUCUGAUGAUCAAAGAUUUAUCGCUGAAGGAUGGGCUCACGUCUGAUUAGCUAGUUGGUGAGGUAACGGCUCACCAAGGCUGCGAUCAGUAGCCGGACUGAGAGGUUGAACGGCCACAUUGGGACUGAGAUACGGCCCAGACUCCUACGGGAGGCAGCAGUGGGGAAUAUUGGGCAAUGGGCGCAAGCCUGACCCAGCAACGCCGCGUGAAGGAAGAAGGCUUUCGGGUUGUAAACUUCUUUUAUGAGGGACGAAGGACGUGACGGUACCUCAUGAAUAAGCCACGGCUAACUACGUGCCAGCAGCCGCGGUAAUACGUAGGUGGCGAGCGUUGUCCGGAUUUACUGGGUGUAAAGGGCGCGUAGGCGGGUAGGCAAGUCAGAUGUGAAAUCUCCGGGCUCAACCCGGAAACUGCAUUUGAAACUGUUUAUCUUGAGUAUCGGAGAGGCAAGCGGAAUUCCGUGUGUAGCGGUGAAAUGCGUAGAUAUACGGAGGAACACCAGUGGCGAAGGCGGCUUGCUGGACGACAACUGACGCUGAGGCGCGAAAGCGUGGGGAGCAAACAGGAUUAGAUACCUGGUAGUCCACGCCGUAAA